UACAGAGGUCCCAAGCGUUGUUCGGAUUCACUGGGCGUAAAGGGUGCGUAGGCGGUGAGGUAAGUCUGACGUGAAAUCUCCAGCUCAACUUGGAACUGCGUUGGAUACUAUCUCGCUAGAGGAAUGGAGGGGAGACUGGAAUACUUGGUGUAGCAGUGAAAUGCGUAGAUAUCAAGUGGAACACCAGUGGCGAAGGCGAGUCUCUGGACAUUUCCUGACGCUGAGGCACGAAGCCAGGGGAGCAAACGGGA
rnacentral:rRNA from 1 species